GGGCCCGUAGGGUAGCUUGGUCAAUCCUUCGGCGUUCGGGACGCCGGUACUCCAGUUCAAAUCUGGGCGGGCCCACCA
rnacentral:tRNA from 2 species